CUCGACUCGAGAGUGACCCCUCGUACAUAAUGCAUACAUGCACCUCGGCCGGGUACCGGCAGAAUGCCGGUUUUUUGUGUUUUGUCGCGGGCCCGGCUCCGGCAAAACACGAGGAAAUAUGCCGGAGAAAAACGUACGCCGUGUAAACCGCGUCGUGCCGCGUAAACGCGUACACGAGACCCCGUGAAAAGGGUUUCGUUUUUAAUUCGCGUUUACGGUUUUCGUUGUUUUUGUUUUGCUGUACAAACGCGCGUACACAAGCUUCGGUACCGCACGG